GGGCCAUAGCUCAGUAGAAAAUCUUUGUAGGCAUCUGCUUUGCAUGCAGAAGGUCCCAAGUUCAAUCCCUGGCAUCUCCA